UACGAAGGGGGCUAGCGUUGCUCGGAAUUACUGGGCGUAAAGCGCACGUAGGCGGCUUUCUAAGUCGGGGGUGAAAUCCUGGAGCUCAACUCCAGAACUGCCUUCGAUACUGGAGAGCUUGAGUCCGGGAGAGGUGAGUGGAACUGCGAGUGUAGAGGUGAAAUUCGUAGAUAUUCGCAAGAACACCAGUGGCGAAGGCGGAUCACUGGCCCGGUACUGACGCUGAGGUGCGAAAGCGUGGGGAGCAAACAGG
rnacentral:rRNA from 1 species